AAGGCAACUUUGUAAAGCACACUUGAGCUGGUAGAAGAAUCGUCAGAUGUGAUGACAAGCUACAGGGAAAACUGCCUGCUGCCUGGUUCACCUGCCACAGAUAGAGCGUAUUUGUCAUGAGUGCAGUCUUCUUUCAUCCAGCGCUCCUCGGCCUUCCUUGGAACCCCUUUAACAUCUGUACACCCUGCCUGCCUCAGGCGUGCCUCCAGCUUGUUUAUCUGAAAGGGGAGGCAAAGGAAAGAAGAGUGGGAAUUGAAGCAGAUAGCAACAAAGCCAAUCAAUAACAUGGUUUGAUGAAAUGCUCUAUUCUGUAAGCACACACCUAGAAGGCAAAAGAAACUUCAAAGCCUACGUAAUUUUUCAUUUUCCCCCAGGACUUAAUGAGCUUGAAUCAUCCAGUAUCCAAACAAAUAAACAGUUCUGUAGGUGUUAAAAAAUA
rnacentral:lncRNA from 1 species